GACGUUAUUUAUCGUUCUAGAAAAUCCUAGAUCGUAUUAUUAUAUCAGAUUUCUCAUCUUGAAUAAUGAAUACUGGCUACAUCAAAGAUGAGAAUGUUUAGAGAUGCACAGUUUCACUUCAAAUGUAACACUAUAGAAGGAAAAAUUAUGUAAGUUUGUAUUGUUUUACAAUGUUCACAAAAAUUUGUGCAAUCGCGUUCAUUUUCGUUGACUUUUCAAACUAUGCGAGUGGAAGUAAUCAUGCCGAAGAAAUAGAACUCUCCGAAUGGAAAUCCUUAACGACUCGAUCAUACGACUACACCCCCAUUCCAAUCGAUCAAAUAAAGAACAGAAGCGAAAUUUAUCUCGAGUUUUGUGUAAAAGCUGAACGAGAUGCGCAUAUAAUUUUCUCCCCAACAAAAACACCAGCGAAGAUACAUGAAAAAGCUUAUGAAAUAGUUUUAGGCGCCGAUGAAAAUAAAUAUUCCGCUAUCAGACUAUCUCGACAGGGAGAAAACAUAAAACAAGAUGGCCAGCAUGGUAUCAUUUCAUCAAAUUCAUGGCGUAAUAAAUUCUGGCUUCGAAUUAGUUCGAAUGGGUUAAUCGAAGUCGGAAAGUACGGAAAUCCAGCAUUCUUGUCAUGGGAAGACAAAAAUCGCAUGAAUAUUGAUCACUUUGGAUUCGCUAGUUGGAUUAAUAACAAUUCGGUUAAUUGGCGAAUUAAAAACACCUGGACUAAGAAUGAAACUAAAAAGGACCUUAAACGAGUUUUGUUUUUAAAUUACGGUAAAACAGUGCCCCCGAAAAAUAGUACAUUAUUAGAUGAAGUAAAUAUUACUGUCACAAACCAGUACGCAUAUGAGAGAAGGGGUGCCCUCGAAAUAGUUGGAUUAGCAAAAAUUGCAUGGAAAGAUGACCGUUUAAAAUGGAACUCAACUUCGUACAAUAAUUGUGAAAAUAUUUUCGUAGAAUACGACUCGAUAUGGAAACCCAACAUAACAAUUACAAACGAUCAACUAUGCCUCCGCCCUAGAUCCUUGCAUACCGGAUAUGUGAUUUUAUCACACGAGGGUAUUGUUUCAUGGGUCACCCUGUUGCAUACAAAGUUAUCGUGCUCGCCUAAGGAACAUUUUAAGCUGAGUUCUCAUCAAGCAACGUGUCCAAUAAAAUUGAUUUACAUUGCAAAGAAACUAAGUCUUGAAGUUCGAAACAAUUUCGAAAUGCCAUUACCGUCGCCAUUCUUCUGCAGAAAAGUACAAGCUUUGAAAAACGAACAACCUGAAUUCUAUGCUGAAUUGAUCUUUAAAAGACAAGGAUAGUAAAACAUCGACGAAUUUUAAUUUACUUGACGAAUAAAUGAUUUACAUCGUCGUUAUCACAUCAACAAUUUUUGUCGGAUGUGGAGUUGCAGAUAGACCAGAUUUUUCAAAAUGCAAACGAAAUUUGACAUCUCGAAAUUACACUUACGAAGUUUACCCAAUAGACGAAAUAAAAAAUGAAGACAUUUAUUUGGAGUUCUACAUAAAAGCUGCAAGAGAUGCUUUAAUUAUUUUUUCCCCAACAAAUGAUCCAAUGAAAAGCGGUCAAGAUAUCUAUGAAGUACUGAUAGGCGGUUAUAAUAAUACGCAAUCAACAAUCCGAAAAGCAUCAGGAGGUGAACUGGUUAUUUAUCGCAAGGAUAAUAUAUUAUCGCCCAAAGAAUAUCGUAAAUUCUGGAUUCGAAUUCCACUAAACGGAUCAUCGAUUCAAGUGGGGAAGAAAGGGAACUCAUCUCCGUUCAUGCGAUUGUCAGGAAGGAAUUCUUGGAACAUUACUCACUAUGGAUUUGCUACUUGGAAAGAAGAUACUCGUGAAGUGAACUGGUAUUUUCCAUGUUCCCAUGACAGUGAUGUUGCAGGCAUCAUAUUAUUUUACUUUUAAUUUGAAAAGGUGACUCCGCUAGCUGUGGCCACUAUAAAAACAUUAGCAACUUUAUGUAUUUUUUACUCGGAGAUAAAUAAAAUAAAGUUCAGUUUUGUAUUUUUUUCGA